GAUGAACGCUGGCGGCGUGCCUAAUACAUGCAAGUCGAGCGAACGGACGAGAAGCUUGCUUCUCUGAUGUUAGCGGCGGACGGGUGAGUAACACGUGGAUAACCUACCUAUAAGACUGGGAUAACUUCGGGAAACCGUAGCUAAUACCGAAUAAUAUUUUGAACCGCAUGGUUCAAAAGUGAAAGACGGUCUUGCUGUCACUUAUAGAUGGAUCCGCGCUGCAUUAGCUAGUUGGUAAGGUAACGGCUUACCAAGGCAACGAUGCAUAGCCGACCUGAGAGGGUGAUCGGCCACACUGGAACUGAGACACGGUCCAGACUCCUACGGGAGGCAGCAGUAGGGAAUCUUCCGCAAAGGGCGAAAGCCUGACGGAGCAACGCCGCGUGAGUGAUGAAGGUCUUCGGAUCGUAAAACUCUGUUAUUAGGGAAGAACAUAUGUGUAAGUAACUGUGCACAUCUUGACGGUACCUAAUCAGAAAGCCACGGCUAACUACGUG
rnacentral:rRNA from 1 species